CGCGUAGGUGGUUAGGUAAGCGAGAUGUGAAAGCCCCGGGCUUAACCUGGGAACGGCAUUUCGAAACUGUCUGACUAGAGUAUGGUAGAGGGUAGUGGAAUUUCCUGUGUAGCGGUGAAAUGCGUAGAUAUAGGAAGGAACACCAGUGGCGAAGGCGGCUACCUGGACCAAUACUGACACUGAGGUGCAAAAGCGUGGGGAGCAAACA
rnacentral:rRNA from 1 species